GUUCCAAAGGGAUCGCAUUGAUCUACUGAUUCCUCCAUUAAAUGAGUUAAAAUUCUCACUUUUUUAUUCAUUGGAUCAUGCGAUCCCUUAGGAAUUCUCC
rnacentral:pre_miRNA from 1 species